GACGAACGCUGGCGGCGUGCUUAACACAUGCAAGUCGAGCGGUAAGGCCCUUUCGGGGGUACACGAGCGGCGAACGGGUGAGUAACACGUGGGUGACCUGCCCUCAGCUCUGGGAUAAGCCUGGGAAACCGGGUCUAAUACCGGAUAUGACUCCAUGACGCAUGUUGUGGGGUGGAAAGCCUUGUGCGGCUGAGGAUGGGCCCGCGGCCUAUCAGCUUGUUGGUGGGGUGAUGGCCUACCAAGGCGACGACGGGUA
rnacentral:rRNA from 1 species